rnacentral:rRNA from 1 species
UGAGGAAUAUUGGUCAAUGGGCGAGAGCCUGAACCAGCCAAGUCGCGUGAAGGAUGAAGGUUCUAUGGAUUGUAAACUUCUUUUGUCCGAGGGUAAAAAAGGCUACGUGUAGCUUCUUGCAAGUAUCGGACGAAUAAGCAUCGGCUAACUCCGUGCCAGCAGCCGCGGUAAUACGGAGGAUGCGAGCGUUAUCCGGAUUCAUUGGGUUUAAAGGGUGCGUAGGUGGCCUUUUAAGUCAGCGGUGAAAGUUUGUGGCUCAACCAUAAAAUUGCCGUUGAAACUGGAGGGCUUGAGUAUGUUUGGGGCAGGCGGAAUGUGUGGUGUAGCGGUGAAAUGCAUAGAUAUCACGCAGAACUCCGAUCGCGAAGGCAGCUUGCCAAGCUAUAACUGACACUGAAGCACGAAAGUGUGGGUAUCAAACAGGAUUAGAUACCCUGGUAGU